UUCCAGACUCCUACGGGAGGCAGCAGUGGGGGAUAUUGCACAAUGGGGGAAGCCCUGAUGCAGCGACGCCGCGUGGGUGAAGAAGCGCCUCGGCGCGUAAAGCCCUGUCAGCAGGGAAGAAAAUGACGGUACCUGAAGAAGAAGCCCCGGCUAACUACGUGCCAGCAGCCGCGGUAAUACGUAGGGGGCAAGCGUUAUCCGGAUUUACUGGGUGUAAAGGGAGCGUAGACGGUUAUGUAAGUCUGGAGUGAAAGCCCGGGGCCCAACCCCGGGACUGCUUUGGAAACUGUGUAACUGGAGUACAGGAGGGGCAGGCGGAAUUCCUGGUGUAGCGGUGAAAUGCGUAGAUAUUAGGAGGAACACCGGUGGCGAAGGCGGCCUGCUGGACUGUGACUGACGUUGAGGCUCGAAAGCGUGGGGAGCAAACAGGAUUAGAUCCCCGAGUA
rnacentral:rRNA from 1 species